CGAAAAACAAGGCAAUUCGGAUGUGCUGGGAAUUGUGUCUUUUAUUUACGGCGUCUUUCUGUAACUGUCUUGCUUUGCUCUUCGCGCAGAACACCUUGGACAGCAUGCAGGUAUUCUAGAGAAUAGCAUCUUCCCUGCCCGGCGUGCUUGGCGAUGCUUUUCCCGUGAGUGGACGCGGCCAUGAGUCCUGGGCCUGCUCUGACCUGCCUCUGCUUCCUGAACUGCAGCUUCUGACGCAGGUGGGGGGUGGUCGGGGUUCCUCAGCCUGGGGGAGCUGAGGAGCUGCUCCGAGGAGCUCCACAAGCAGGGCCUCCCCCUCAUCCGGGCGUCAAAUGCAACGCCAUGCUCGCUGAGGUGCUGCGCAGGCCCAGACACAUGGCUCUUCCCGUCCUGCCAAGGCUGUGACUGUCAGGCUGGGAGAGCAGUCCUGGGGUUCAGAUGACCGCAGAGGAGAGAAAUUGUGGGUUGAUUCUAUCCUUGGGCCAGAGUUGUUGAGAGAGCCUAGCGGAUAACCCUGAAUUCGGUUAAUUCGGUUACUGGUCAUCAGAAUUCAAGCUGCACGCCUGAGCCUCACAACCUUCCGUUCUGCCUCUGCGUUGUGUGGACAGCAAGCUCCUUCCCACAGGCCAGGGAGGCUGCCUGCGCUCCUCUCUGUC
rnacentral:lncRNA from 1 species